UUGGCCUCCAACACCUCCCCAAUGAAGAACAUUUAACUUUCACUGUUAAACAAUUGCACUCUGUUUAUGGUCUAUGUAAUGUGCUAUCAUCCAGAAAGUCAAUUAAAGUUUUGGGCUUGUGGGUUAUGUGCAAGUUAAAUCUGGUAGAUCUCCUUUGAAAAUAUUACCUAACAAAUCUAAUGCUUCUAUUAAUAGGUUGUAAUAUCAAAUAAGUUGAAUCUUCCUUCCACGAAAGUUAAAAACUUAAUUCUAUCACAGUUCAUACUUAAUCCUCUAUGAUCAAUGCAACUAGCACAGGUGACAAAGCACAUCACACUCUUAUAUAAAUAACAAUUUCAUUUUGAUUAACCAAACAUUAUUUUUGUUUAACUAGCUAGUUUCUCUUUGGAGGAAAGCAGAGGGCAGUGGAGACCACUGGAAAUCAAAUCACAGUGAUUGCUAUCUAAUUUAUUAUUCACAACAACCCCACCUCUUUCAAGAAUCCCACAUAUUAAAUAUAGAGUGGCCUGUAGCCGACAUUUUUGUGUCAAAAUUAAGUACCUUUUCAACCAUGGCGUGCUAAAAGGCAAAGUCCUAACACAAGAACAGGAAUAAAUUGCUAUUCCUGGGCAUGUGCUUGUAGCCUUUUGAACUUUGACGCUAUAAUAUAGGAAAAGGACUAAAGAAACUGUAGAGAAACAUACAAACAUGAAACAUGGCUGGGUAUAUAUAAUGAUAUUUCUGUAACCAGUUUUCUUCCACAAGGCAACAUGAGGCUUGAGCUGAAGAGAGGCCUCAUCCUAGCUUUUCUUGUACUUAUUACCUUAUUUCUUUCGUGGAGCUUGUUUUUCACCGGUGAAAAAAUAGAGAAGUUAACUUACGUAAGAGAUGAGGAAAAAUUAUAUGAAGCGGUCAUUGUAAAACAAAUCAAUAGCCCACCUUUACCAUGGGCAAAAGACCCACAUGAGCGAGGGCUAAGACAGGAACUCAAGAGGAAAAGACCUCAACCACCAUCACCACGUCGUCCAGGGAACCCAGGGCCAAACCCCUAGCUAGCAUGCAAAUACCAAUGUCAAAAGAGAAUAUUGCACAUUGGUAUUUUGGUUCACUUGGAAGAUUACAAUCAUCUCUAGAAAAUGCGAGAUAUAUGUAUUAUCAUGUUUGACUUGUUAUUUGUGUAAUAUAUAACACAUUAUUAGAAUGAAAAUUAGGGCAGGUUGAACCCUAGGCCACUUAGUCAAUGGCCUAAGAUCCUAAAUAGAAGAAGGCCACCUAUGUAAUAAAUUAUAUUUUAUCUAUCUCUCUAAUAGUGUGGCAAAAAUAAAAUAAAAUAAAAUAAUAAUAAUUAAGGAAAAAAAGGCAUCCCCUCUAUUGGCCAAUAGAAUGUACUUUUUAUUUAUCUUAAAGUGUAAAAAUUUUAAUAGAUAAAGAUUAUUUUUAAAUAA